rfam:Dipodomys ordii contig_12199, whole genome shotgun sequence.
GGUGGCUCAGUGGUAGAGUGCUUGCCUUGCAUGCAUGAGGCCCUGGGUUCUAUCCCUCAGCACCA